UCCCGGGGUGCUCUCCGGGGACAGUUCCCAGCAGCAUGGCACUGCCACUCUCCUGACACACCGGCAACCGCGGCAACUCCGGACGCUCCAACCCGCCCAGAGGAGGUGAGAAGGGGACAACUUGCACCGGGCUCAGUUCGGGAGCAUUGGAGCAAAGCUGUCAGAAACGACGGAAGGAGGGACCGAGCCCGGAGGCGGGUCAGGGAGAGGUUCAAGUCCCGUGCCUUCCCCGCCCUGGCGUCCCCAGUCCUGCGGGAACAUCCCUGCUGUCGCCCCUCCUCCUCCUCUCCUGCCUCCCGCCCGCCCUGCCUUCUCCGCCGCCGCCGCAGGCGCUGA
rnacentral:lncRNA from 1 species